rnacentral:rRNA from 1 species
CCCAUAACGAGCGCUAACCCCUACCUUUAGUUGCCAUCAGGUUAAGCUGGGGACUCUAAAGGAACUGCCUACGCAAGUAGUGAGGAAGGCGGGGAUGACGUCAAAUCAGCACGGCCCUUACGUCCAGGGCUACACACGUGCUACAAUGGCCGAUACAGAGGGCAGCUACCUGGUGACAGGAUGCAAAUCUCCAAAGUCGGUCUCAGUUCGGAUCGGAGUCUGCAACCCGACUCCGUGAAGUUGGAUUCGCUAGUAAUCGCGCAUCAGCCAUGGCGCGGUGAAUACGUUCCCGGCCUU